rnacentral:rRNA from 1 species
CCCAGACUCCUACGGGAGGCAGCAGUGGGGGAUAUUGCACAAUGGGGGGAACCCUGAUGCAGCGACGCCGCGUGGGUGAAGGAGUAUUUCGGUAUGUAAAGCCCUAUCGGCAGGGAAGAAAUUGGACGGUACCUGACUAAGAAGCCCCGGCUAACUACGUGCCAGCAGCCGCGGUAAUACGUAGGGGGCAAGCGUUAUCCGGAUUCACUGGGUUUAAAGGGUGCGCAGGCGGCACGGCAAGCCGGCGGUCAAAUCGCGGGGCUCAACCCCGCCCAGCCGUCGGAACUGCCGGGCUAGAGUGGGCGAGAAGAAGGCGGAAUGCGUGGUGUAGCGGUGAAAUGCAUAGAUAUCACGCAGAACCCCGGUUGCGAAGGCAGCCUUCCGGCGCCCUACUGACGCUGAGGCACGAAAGUGCGGGGAUCGAACAGGAUUAGAUACCCGAGUA